GCCCCCCAGUCCAUAUAGUUAUGGUCUUACAGGCUGAUCCAGGAUCAGCACUCCUCCUCUGAAAGGCUUUGUGAAUAUGGGCCCCAAUGUGUUUCAAAACAGUUUCAUGGUUUGUUUUUGUGUUUUUUUGGUGGGAUUUGGAUGUUUUAAUUUAACUAGAGAAGAGAAACUUUAGUCUGCAGAGAUUUACAAGGAGAAAAUAAUAAAUUUGAGUUUUAUUAGAAGUUACAUUUUUUUGGUGUCUGUUGUUGUGAUUUGGGAGUGGAUAGUCAAGCAUUAACAGACACACACACACACACACACACACACACACACACACACAGAUUAUGCCAAUACAUUGGUGUCUCAAGGUCAGCAGCACAUCACCAUUCAUUAGUCACCACACAUUAUAUACAGAACCAGUCAAAAGUUCCAGAACACCUACUCAUUCAAGGGUUUUUCUUUAUUUUUACUAUUUUCUACAUUGUAGAAUAAUAGUGAAGACAUCAAAACUAUGAAGUAACACACAUGGAAUCAUGUAGUAACCAAAAAAGUGUUAAACAAAUCUAAAAAAUAUUUUAGAUUCUUCAAAUAGCCACCCUUUUGCCUUGAUGACAGCUUUGCACACUCUUGGCAUUCUCUCAACCAGCUUCACCUGGAAUGCUUUUCUAAAAGUCUUGAAGGAGUUCCCACAUAUGCUGAGCACUUGUUGGCUGUUUUUCCUUCACUCUGCGGUCUGAUUAAUCCCAAACCAUCUCAAUUGGGUUGAGGUCGGUUGAGGUAGGGUGAUGGUGGAGGCCAGGUCAUCUGAUGCAGCACUCCAUCAAUCUCCUUCUUGGUCAAAUAGCCCUUACACAGCCUGAAGGUGUGUUGGGUUAUUGUCCUGUUGAAAAACAAAUGAGUCCCACUAAGAGCAAACCAGAUGGGAUGGCAUAUCACUGUAGAAUGCUGUGGUAGCCAUGCUGGUUAAAUGUGCCUUCAAUUCUAAAUAAAUCACAGACAAUGUCACCAGCAAAGCACCAUCACACCUCCUCCAUAUUGCUGUGUGAAUUUUUCUGUAAAGAUCUGAGACACGAUUUGUGAUCUGGGGAAGGGUACCAAAACCUUUCUGCAGCAUGGAAGGUUCCCAAGAACACACACAAGUUCGGAACCAGCAAGACUUCCUAGAGCCGACCACACUGAGCAAUCGGGAGAAGGGCUUUGGUCAGGGAGGUGACCAAGAACCUGAUGGUCCCUUUGACAGAGCUCCAGAGUUCCUCUGUGGAGGUGGGAGAACCUUCCAGAAGGACAACCGUCUCUGCAGCGCUCCACUCCAAGCGUGUAACGUCAUACCCAAGAAGACUCGAGGCUGUAAUCGCUGGUGAAGGUGCUGAAGUACUGAGUGAAGGGUUUGAAUAAUAACGUACACGUGAUAUUUCAGUUUUUAUUCAUUUAUAAAUUAGCAACAAUGUCUUGCCCUGUUUUUGCUAUUAUUUGUGUUGAACUGCUUUGCUUUCUCUUGGCCAGGUCGUAGUUGUAAAUGAGAAAGUGUUCUCAUCUGGCCUACCUGGUUAAAUAAAGGUGUUCUCAUCUGACCUACCUGGUUAAAUAAAGGUGUUCUCAUCUGACCUACCUGGUUAAAUAAAGGUGUUCUCAACUGGCCUACCUGGUUAAAUAAAGGUGUUCUCAACUGGCCUACCUGGUUAAAUAAAGGUGUUCUCAACUGGCCUACCUGGUUAAAUAAAGGUGUUCUCAACUGGCCUACCUGGUUAAAUAAAGGUGUUCUCAACUGGCCUACCUGGUUAAAUAAAGGUGUUCUCAUCUGACCUACCUGGUUAAAUAAAGGUGUUCUCAACUGGCCUACCUGGUUAAAUAAAGGUGUUCUCAACUGGUCUACCUGGUUAAAUAAAGGUGUUCUCAACUAGCCUACCUGGUUAAAUAAAGGUGUUCUCAUCUGGCCUACCUGGUUAAAUAAAGGUGUUCUCAACUGGCCUACCUGGUUAAAUAAAGGUGUUCUCAUCUGGCCUACCUGGUUAAAUAAAGGUGUUCUCAACUAGCCUACCUGGUUAAAUAAAGGUGUUCUCAACUGGCCUACCUGGUUAAAUAAAGGUGUUCUCAACUAGCCUACCUGGUUAAAUAAAGGUGUUCUCAACUAGCCUACCUGGUUAAAUAAAGGUGUUCUCAACUAGCCUACCUGGUUAAAUAAAGGUGUUCUCAACUAGCCUACCUGGUUAUAUAAAGGUGUUCUCAACUGGACUAUCUGGAUAAAUAAAGGUGUUCUCAACUAGCCUACCUGGUUAAAUAAAGGUGUUCUCAACUAGCCUACCUGGUUAAAUAAAGGUG